rnacentral:misc_RNA from 1 species
AAAAUCAGGCUCGUAUGAAAAUCGGACUCUUUUUCCCUUUUAUUGGUUAAACCUGUUGGGUCAGAAUGUUUCGUUUGUGUAAUAUGCUAAUUAGGUUAACUUGUUGUGUAUCUGUAUUCUUCGUCAAGAGAGGGCGCUAUUGCACACCACCCUAAAACAAGUCAGUUGGGUUAAAACGUUUAGAUAACGUCAAACUUUUCAUGUCAACGUCACUUUUCGUCACGCAAUUUGUUGUUUUGGACAGCCCAAAGUCGUAAGUUUAAUAAUUUCUAAAUCCUUUUAUAUGAUUGUAAGACAUAUAUAGAACAUGGCCAUCUAGAUAUUUGUGGGAUAAAAGUAAUAUUUCUGGGUUAAUUUAUUGGGGAAACUUUGUGUAAAAGUGUCAUGUAAAAAUGUGUGCAUAUAGACUUUAAUAUACAACAUUACAUGGGAUUCGCACAUGUCUACAGCUAAUUUACCACUAACUGGACAUUUGUAAUAUUGUUUUUGUGUAUCAAUCCUGAUUUGUAUUUGUUAUUCUUUGUUUUGUUUAUGUAGAUUAAACCGUGUUACGUGUUACGUGCUUCAUGCUUCAUGUUUCGUGUCUACGUGAUUAAAGAUGCGAGUAUACUGUUGCUGAUACAUGAUUGUGUACUAGUCAUUCGUCAUUAAGUCAAGUUCACUGGAACUUUUAAGUGCCAUCCUUUACAUGAGUUUAAUGACUGGGCUUUAUAAGAUUUGGACAUUGUCAUGAGUACUACUGAGACAGGAACGUCACGUCACGGUGAAAGCCGUUCAGCAUCGGAGCAUGGGGCCACAUCAGACACCGGUGGACAUGAUGACCUCAUUCGUCCACAAGAUUCUGUGAGUCAAUGCAGGUCAAAGGUCAGCAGGACAUCAACAUCAGUGACCGGUGCCAGAGUGAAAGCAGCUGCCAGAAAGGUUGCUUUAGAAGCAGAAGCGGCCAUGUUGCAUCAGCUGCAAGCCCUUGAAGACGAAGAGUUAAAGCUUCAUCAAAGAAAGAGACACUUGGCCCUGCAAACAAAGUUGGCUAUGGCAGAAGCGGAGGAGGCUGUGUAUGCACUUAACGACAGCAAUGAACAUUGCGAUACCUUCUCAGUACACGCAUCAAACAACAGUGAAGUGCAGAUUGCGACACCCCCACAGAGUACACCUGAAGUAGUGGAUACAUCUCCAGCAUGUCAAACCACGAAGUUGGAGUUCGACGGAAUGAAGGAACCAGAUACGAAGCCAGAGGCUGAGACGACAGUGGAUCCAAACAAGACAUCAGAACCGGACAAGACAGUGGAUCCAGUCAAGACAGCAGAACCUGACAGCGCGCACAAGAACAGUGAAACAACGGUUCUUGAGCUGGUGCAGCAGGGUCAAAAGCAGCAACAACGGCUGCUUGAGGUGAUACAGCUGCCGAAAGCAGAACUUUUGACAUACGAUGGAGAUCCCUUGCAGUAUUGGGCAUUCAUAAGAUCCUUUGAGAACAGUGUGGACAACUCCAAUUUGGAGGACAGUGCUAAGUUGAUUCGGUUGUUACAGUACUGUACUGGUAAGGCAAAGAAAGUGAUACAGUGUUGUUCUGUGAUGCAGCCACUUGAAGGGUAUAAGAGGGCUAAGGCCUUGCUUAAGGAAAGGUUUGGUAACAAUUACACGAUUGCUGAAGCUUGGGUGAACAAGCUAACUGAGGGUAGUAGUAUUAGCCCACAUGACAAGAAAGCACUAAGAGAGUAUGCAGAUGAUCUGAAAACCUGUAGGGAGACCCUUAAUGCCAUGGGUUACAUUCAGGAAGUAAAUACUCAGACAGUGUUGGUUACUUUGAUUGAGAAACUGCCAAGUUACCUCCGUAACCGAUGGAUCAAGCAGGUUAGGGUAAUUAGAAAGAAAAACGACAGGUCACCCCAAAUAGGGGAUUUAGUAGAAUUUGUAGAAGACGCAGCUGAAGAAGCUAACGAUCCUGUAUAUGGUGCAUUGAGUAAGCCAAAGGACAGAUAUGUUGUAACAAACAAGAAUGUUCCGAAGUCCUCUGUAAGUCGUUAUAGCAAAGGUAGUUACACCAUGAUGACAAAUGCCAAACCUGGUAACAUGACAUGUGUAUUGUGUAACGGUAGUCACACCUUGUUUGGGUGUACAGAGUUUAAGAGUAAGAAACCAGAAGACAGAUUUGAAUUUGCUAGGGCAACAAAACUGUGCUAUAACUGUUUGAGACCUGGGCAUAUGUCAAAUUCAUGUACCUUAAACCGAGUUUGCUCUGUUGCAGGGUGUGGAAAAAAGCAUACUAAAUUCUUGCACCGGAUUAAAACCAUCCCCGUAGGUCAGUUUACCCCAAGAACUGAGGUCACGACGGCACCAGCAGAACCAGCGGCAUCAGUGCAAAGUGGUUUCACCGACACAGAGGUUGACACGAGCUGUAAUGUCACAGGGGUCGGCGUGAUGGGAGUUGCGUUGCCCAUUGUUCCAGUCAAGGUCAAGGCCAAGGGUAGUGGUGUUUGCAUCGACACAUAUGCGCUCUUGGACAGUGGGUCCACGAGCACCUUCUGCACAGAAGAGUUGGCGAAGCGACUGAAACUCUGCGGUCAACAGCAGCAAUUGUCUCUCACAACGUUGGCAGGGGCAAACGUGCAAACAGCGACAACUGUCAUCAGUUUGACAGUUAGCGGUAUCGACUGCAAACAACCAGUUGAACUUCCGUUGGUGUAUACAAGACGUGAGCUCCCUAUCCAUGAUGCCAACCUGGCCAAGCAAGAGGACAUUGAAAAAUGGCCUCACUUGCAAGGUCUCAAGCUGCCACAGGUUGACAAAGGUCGAGUACAGCUUUUGAUUGGGCAAGAUGUUCCAGAAGCACUGAUGCCAUUAGAAGUCAAGAAGGGUGAGAGGAAUGCCCCAUAUGCGACAAGAACAGAGCUCGGAUGGUCGCUGAAUGGACCACUGGGAAUGGCGAACAAGCACACAGCCACAUCCAACUUCAUUGCCGCCGACGACAGUUUAGAGAGACAACUUAAGAUGUUCUGGAAGUUGGACACGACUGAUUCCAUUCAUGAUGACACCAAGGGGAUGUCGGUGAAGGACAAGCAGGCUAUUGCGAUAUGGGAAGAAAGUGUUCGUCUCACAGAUGGGCACUACGAGUUGGCUAUCCCAUUUAAGAAUUAUCCUCCGCACUUGGUUGAUAAUCGCACUGUUGCGGAACGACGUCUUUUUUCGUUGGGCAAGCGGCUACAGAGAGACACACUACUGCACGCUAAGUACACUGAAGGCAUGCAGGAUCUCAUCAACAACGGUUAUGGAGAAAGUGUUCCAGAAGAGGAAGUUCAUCCCUCAAACAGCACCGUGUGGUAUCUCCCACAUCACCUGGUGUACCAUCCGAAGAAGCCUGACAAGGUUUGCAUAGUAUUCGACUGUGCGUCUAAGCAUGUUGGAACAUCACUCAACGACGAGGUGCUAAGUGGACCAGAUUUGACCAACAAGCUGUUGGGGGUACUCUUGAGGUUUCGGCAAGAGACAGUGGCACUUAUGGCUGAUGUCCAAGCCAUGUUCCAUCAGGUCAAAGUCACUCAUGAAGAGCGAGAUGUCUUGAGAUAUCUGUGGUGGUCUGAUGGUGACAGCUCUCGACAGCCGAGUGUGUAUAGGAUGACUGUACACCCCUUCGGUGGUACAUGGAGUCCAAGCUGUUGCACCUUCGCUCUGCAACGUACCGCUGAAGAUAAUCGAGCAGACUUCCAACCUGACACAGUUGACACAGUCAUGCGUAAUUUUUAUGUAGAUGACUGUUUGAAAUCUGUCGCCAGUGAAGAGAAAGGAAUUCAGCUGGCACAGGAACUCCGUAGUCUUCUUGCUAGAGGAGGUUUUAGGUUGACAAAGUGGGUAAGCAGCAACCCACAAGUUCUUGCGUCCAUCCCCAUCGAAGAGAGAGUGAAGGAUGUCAAGGAGCUCGAUCUGAACUACGAGGCAUUACCGACCGAGAGCGCUCUCGGAAUGCAGUGGGAUGUUGAACUGGACUGUUUUGGCUAUAAAAUCAGUCCCAGCGACAAGCCAUUGACAAGAAGAGGAAUACUUAGUGUCUGCAGUUCUAUCUAUGAUCCACAUGGGUUUGUGAGUCCGUUCACUCUGAGGGCCAAGGUUAUCAUACAGGAUCUAUGCCGAAGAAAGCUGGGCUGGGAUGAGUCACUUCCAUCAGAGCACCUCAACAGUUGGCAACAGUAGAAACAAGAACUACCCGAGAUAGAACAGUUUAGGGUGAAUAGGAGUAUCAAGCCCUAUGGUUUUGGAGAGGUAGUCAAAUACCAACUGCACCAUUUCUCGGAUGCAUCAGAAGUAGCUUACGGAGCGACAACUUAUUUGCAUAUGACAAACUCGGAAGGCGACAAGCGGUCUUGCCUUCUUUUGGCCAAGUCUCAUCUAGCCCCCCUGAAAAAGAUGACUAUACCAAGGUUGGAAUUGAUGGGUGCCACACUCUCCAUCAAACUUGAUGCGAUGGUUCGUAGAGAGUUAGAUGUGUCAUUAGAGGAUUCAGUAUUUUGGACAGACAGCACCAUAGUACUGCAGUAUGUGAAGAAUGAGGAGCGACGGUUUCUCACAUUCGUGGCAAAUAGAGUUGCAGUUAUCCAUAGCGGGUCAUCACCCAGUCAAUGGCAUCAUGUUGUGUCUAGGCUUAAUCCAGCCGAUGAUGUUUCAAGAGGACAAACAGCUGAGGAGCUGCUUACUAACAAGCGAUGGCUCUAUGGACCCGACUUCCUUUGCCUGGAAGAUAGUGAAUGGCCAAAAUCGCCAAGCCUGAGAGAUCUACCAGAUGAAGAUCCAGAGAUAAAGCCAGACAAGGAGGUGGUUACUGUAUGUGCUGUAAACAAGAUGGAACAGGUCGAUGUGGUAGACAGGUUGUUGAAGAGGCAUUCCUCAUGGCAUAGAUUGAAGAAGAAUGUGGCGUGGUUGCUGCAGGUAAAAAACUACUUGCGAGCCAAGGCAAGGAAGCAACCGACAGUAGACAUGCAGAAGCUACUGGCCGUAGAUGAGAUGACGAGAGCAGAGGAUGCUAUCAUUUUGUAUAUCCAGAGAGAGUCCUUUUGUGAAGAGUUGAAGUUCCUCCAGAAGGACAAGGUAGACUCCAGAAGGUCAAAGGACUACAUCAAGAAGACAAGUCCUUUAUACAAGCUUGACCCAGUGUUGUCCGCUGAUGGUAUCAUAAGGAUUGGUGGUCGUCUGAAGAACGCUCCAGUAGACGAGGGAGUGAAACGUCCGGCCGUGUUGCCUAAAGAUCACCAUGUAGUCACUCUGAUUGUCAGACAAUUCCAUCAAGAAUCGGGACACUCUGGAAGAGAGCACGUACUUUCCCUAUUGCGUCAAAGAUAUUGGUUGAUCAAGGCCAGGUCUACAGUCCGCAGUAUUUUGCGUGAUUGUUUUGGGUGUAGACGUCAAUCAGCCACACCAGUCGAGCAAAAGAUGGCAGAUCUGCCAUCUGACAGGGUCACGCCAAACAAGCCACCAUUCAGUUUUGUUGGAGUGGAUUGUUUUGGUCCGUUCAUGGUUAAACCAGGUCGAAGCUUGGUCAAACGCUAUGGGUGUAUCUUUACCUGUCUAGUUGUUCGAGCCGUUCAUAUUGAAGUCCUACAUACCAUGGAAGCGGAUUCUUUCAUCAACACGUUACAACGGUUCAUGUGUCGACGUGGAGAGCCGGAAGAGAUCAGGUCCGAUAACUGGUCCAACUUUGUGGGCGCCGAGAGAGAGCUUAGAGAAGCUACACAGUCCCUAGAUCAGCAGAAGGUCAAUGAGUUCCUCCUUCAGAAAGGGGUGAAGUGAAAAUUUAAUCCCCCUACGGCAUCGCAUAUGGGCGGAGUCUGGAAAAGGCAGAUUAGGACCACGCGAAAGCUGAUGAAUUCUCUCAUGAAAGAGCAAACCAUGUACGACGAGAGUUUGUCUACACUUAUGUGUCUGGUUGAGUCUAUCAUUGGAAGGCCGAUAACUACAGUGUCAGAUGAUGUGAAUGACCUAGAGCCGCUAACUCCCAAUCACUUACUUCUGCUUCGUGCAGGGCAUGUCCUGCCACCUGGGGUAUUCGACAAAAAAGAUAUGUAUGGAAAGAGGAGAUGGAGGCAGGUACAAUAAUUGGCCUAUCUUUUUUGGAGAAGAUGGAUUCGGGAGUACCUUCCUAUGCUGCAAGAAAGACAGAAAUGGUUUGAGCCAAAGAGGAAUAUCCAGGUUGGAGACUUGGUGCUUGUCGUUGAUAGUGACUUGCCAAGAAGUAAAUGGCUUCUAGGACGAGUUGUUGAAACACAUCAGGGAGGGGACCAGCUAGUCAGAUCAGCCAAGGUGAAGACAAUGUCAUCUACCUUGAUGAGACCAGUCCAGAAACUUUGUCUUCUGGAAACAGUAGAAAGAUCUGAAACAUAAAUUGGUUGUUGGCCUCUACAAGUGUUUUUGUUUGUUUUAUAUUGUGUUUUCCAGUACAUGUAGUUCCAAAGGUUAGAGUGUGUAGUACAAAUAGCUGAUGAUUCAUAUGAUUAGAUCCAGAAGCUUUUCUUUUGUGUGUGUAUAACUUGUGUUAUGAUGUAUAAUUGAAAACCCUAAACCACCAGUGGAAGUCAACUUAAAGGGGCACUCACAUUCUCCCUUAUUUUUUGUAUGAUUUAGGUAAAUGCCAUUUUGGGGUUGGUUGUGACAUUUAAGGGGUCGGGAUGUUGGGUCAGAAUGUUUCGUUUGUGUAAUAUGCUAAUUAGGUUAACUUUUUGUGUAUCUGUAUUCUUCGUCAAGAGAGGGCGCUAUUGCACACCACCCUGAAACAAGUCAGUUGGGUUAAAACGUUUAGAUAACGUCAAACUUUUCAUGUCAACGUCACUUUUCGUCACGCAAUUUGUUGUUUUGGACAGCCCAAAGUCAUUAAACCGUGUUACGUGUUACGUGCUUCAUGCUUCAUGUUUCGUGUCUACGUGAUUAAAGAUGCGAGUAUACUGUUGCUGAUACAU